UAAUGAUAUUAAAAUAGGCGAACCUGACCCGUGUAACUGGAGUGAGAUUUAGAAGUGAUAAGAGGAAUUCCAAUAUCAACAUAUCUCAUUGGAGAGUCAGUGUCACAGAAGGCAAUUGUUGGAAUAUUUCCCAGAGCAGAUUCCUUGAUAGGCUGCAGUUCUAGGAUCAGUGAGGAUGAGAAGACGUGGCUCACUAAAGGAUGUCUGAAGCUGAUUGGUGAAGGUUCCAGGGGUGUGCCUUCCAGCAAUAGCAUGAGCACCUGUGUACUGAGCAAACUUCAAGACAGCUCUCUGACCAUAUGGCCUUGCAGAUUGGACAAUAAUAUCCUGAGGAUUCUCAAUGGCAACGAUGACCCUAGCAGCUAGCUGAAGUUUCUCCCAAGUUUUACCAAGAUUGAUGAUGAAGAUACCUGGAUAAUUAAUACAUUAUGAGUUUCAGAAACAAUUCAUUGAUGUAAGAAGUCAUAAAAGCUGCAAUGGUUAUAUAUAAAAAA